rnacentral:tRNA from 1 species
GGGGGUGUAGCUUAGCCAGGUCAGAGCGUCCGGCUCAUAACCGGAAGGCCAUGGGUUCGAAUCCCUUUACCCCCA